UAUUUAGUUCUUCAGAUUUUUGCUUUUAAAAAUUCAAGGUGUGGCUUCGUUCUAUAUUUUUUAAAAAUUGUUUUAAACAUAAUAUGAAAAACAUGACAUUUUAUGCGACCAAAAAUAUUUCAUACUAAUGAAAUGGAUUACUUUAGGACCCAUUAAUUUCACCCAACUUCCCUAAACAUAGGUUCACGUUCAAGAACUCUGCUGCAUUGACGUAGUCAUUUCCUGCUCUACCCUGAUCUCCUUACCUACAUUCUUCUCGCCAUCCAUGCGUUCGUCAAAGUGCUGCUUGCAGCUUUCGACCAUCGUUUGUCCAUCAGAAGGCUCCCGGCUUGCGGCAAGAGGCCUUUGUGGGAUGCGUUGAGGAACAAAUUUUGCUUCAUUGGGGAUACAAUGCGUUAGUUUUCAAGCACUGAAAGGGGCCUUACUUGACCAUCCAUAAGUACUGUAGUUCCAUAAAUUCUACUUAACGUUUGCCCACUUGCCGUAUAUAUUCAGUAGCAUUUUCAGCCCAAUCUGUUUAAUGUUGUUCAAUAUUUAUACACGAGAAAUUAUGAUGCAGAACGCAAGAAAUUUUUUAGGAAUUUGGAAUGUAUUUCUCUUAGUUGAAAUAAUUGCUUCUAAACAAUCGAUAAUCACUAGGACUUCCCAUAUAUUUUUUUUCUUUUAACAUUUUUGUGGAGCCUUGGUUAGAAAGUUAUGAAGUUAUUCUGGAUAUGAAAAAGUUUAAAAAAAGAGUUCUUUUUUUAUGAAAGUCAUUUAUUGUAACAAAAAUCACUUAUUUCAAAGGAAAUUUUCUACCUUUAGGCGUCAAUAGGGAAAUUUUAAAAUUCAAUAUUGCAUUUUAGGUGUCAAAUUCAGUUGUAAGAGUUUUGACGCGUUAUUCGGGUUUAGGAGAGCAGAACUAGGUGGAUAAGGAAAUUUUUAUUCUAUACUGAUCAAUUUUGCCCAAAAGUGGUAUCUUCAAUUUUUGAAGUAAUUUAACUAAAAGUUUCAAUUUGUUGAACAAAAUUCUGUCAUAUAGAUUCAUGGAGAUCCACUGGGUACUGAUUUUCCAGAAAUUCUCUUGGCAAUAUUUGAAUUGAUACUAAUGUUAUCUGCAAAAGUUGUUUUAAAGUGAUCAAUUUGACCCCGAAUUACGGUACUUAGAACAUAUCUAUACCCCUUUAUACCGGGAUGGAGCCCAAAAAGUUAAAUUUUCAUACAAAUUGCUCAACUUUAGCACUUCAGCACUCUUAGAUUACUCAACAAAACAACCAUUUUUAUCCCUCAAGUCAGAGAACUACUCUUAACCUUUUGAUUUCUAGCCUUGACUACUUAGAUGAAUCAAAAAUAAAAAAUAUGCAACAGAUAAAACUCUUUCAUGUUUUUCGGUUUUUGUCCACUUUUUGUUUAACUUGUUGUGGUAAAUCUUACAUGCAACGUAAACAAAAGUUUGUUUCUACACGUACAAGUAUAAGAUCCAUCAAAGAUCCACCCACAGUGAGUACAACAACAAAGACAGUUUCGAGUUCACGGAAUACAUACGCAACAUAACGCUAACAAGAGGGUACGCACCUACGCACCAGUCUCCUUCGACGUCAUCUCCCUAUUUACCAACAUACCCCAACAGUUGGCGACACCCGAUCUGAUUAUGGGUUGGGACAAGGUCAGAGAUUCGACGAAUAUCAGUCUGUGUAUAUUCAUAGAAAUGAUCGAAUUCUGUCUCAAAAACAGCUACUUUCACUUCAGAGACAAGUUCUACAUCCAGCUGUUCAGCACAGCGAUGGGCAGCCCUCUGUGACCUAUCGUAGUAGAUAUAGUGAUAAAUACCCCCCUCGAGAACAUGAGAAGGCAGAUUCCGAAUGAAAUGCCUGUCCUCAAAAAUUUUAUUGACAAUCUGAUUCUAGCGCUACCUGUAGAUUAAAUUUACAUGGUUCUAAACCUGUUCAACGCCUUCAACACACAUAUCCAGUUCACCAAAGAGGAAGGGAUUGAUGGGAAGCUCCCUGUCCGUGUAGCUGCCGGCUUAGAAUAGCACUACGGACCACCUGUUCCGGGGGUAAAAGUCCACCAAACAGGUAACCCCAAUCCAAGGUGUCAGGCGACCCGUGCUGAGGGAUGAAUGGUUGAGGGGGUUUAAAAUAUGCUCGAUCUUUAACGGAGCCCGUAGCGUGGGUAGAUCGCCUUUUUGGGUUGCGUUGCGGUGUUAGAUCUACCAAACCGAAAUCUAGUGUCGUCCUAUUUUUCAAUUUUGGAAUAUGUGUUCUGAUAAUUAUAGGCAUUAUAGUAUUUAGUCCUUGCUACUGGUGUUGUGAUGACUUCCAGUCUUUGAAUAAAACUAAGUUUACCAACUUUACUUUGCAUAUAGUUAAAAACCUCACCAUCUGAGGCUAAACUCAAUGCAAAGGAAAUCAAAUUGGGUUAGGGAUCCAUGUAUGUACUAACUCUUCGAAGACUGGAAAGUGCUAGUACGCAAGGAACAUACUAGAAUCCUUAUUACUGAACACAUGUCCCAUUAUUGGAAUGAUAUUGCUGCUAAUGUUAAAACCCGGGUCCCAAACCUGGGGAGAAUUUAGCAGUAAAACAAGGGUGAUGCUAGGUUUCCGAUGCAUGGCCAAUAUCAGUACUCUUGUUUUGUUUUCUAAGAAAACAAAACAAAAACUGUAUCAAAAUCGACACUUUAUUGCCCCUCAAUGGCAAUUGAGUAAUGCGACAUGCACUACACUAAGGAUACGGGUAAUGUCACAAUAGAUCUAAAAACUGGUCGCAGUGACAAACCCGAACAGGAAUAAAAAAAAAAAAAAAAAAAAUGGGAAGCUCCCAUUCUUGGAUAUGAUCGUUACUCUAAAUCCUGAUCAAACACUGUCCAUUCAACGUUAUGAGCAUGAAAGUCAACGUCGCGGAAACCCUAAUAUAUGGUCAACCGCCUCACCAACAACCAAACACUCCAACAACAGGAGCAGAUAGUCUUCAAAAUACUUCGAAUGCCAAAAAUCCACCAGAAACCAGCCAAUCCGAGAACACGAACAACAACAAUGAUCGAGGGACGCCUACCGAAAAGAUCCUGUAUCGCUCACUGCCGAUGCACUUGUCAUCUCAUCCCAAAUUAGCAGAAUCCUAAAAAGUGAAUUUUCCAAUUGCAUCCAAAGCAAUAAACACCACGGCGAAGAUUAUCGGCAACAACAAAGAUCCAGUGGAACCUCCGCUACAGUCAAACGUCGUAUAUCGAGUACCAUGAAACGACGGUUCAAUGGUAUAUGUACAUCGAUAUGACUAGGAACUACCUACGCCAACGAAUGUACGGACAUCAAACAGAUAUCAACAAAUACAACACCAUGGUAUCCAACGGUAUCAACGAUACACAAAAACAGGUGGACGCAGUAGGUGGACACACAGCUCUAAUAGAACACAUAAUCAAACACAAACACAUGUUCGAUGCAAGUAGGGUUGAAAUCAUAGACAAAACACAUGAAACUAAUAAUCUACCCAUACUGGAAACAUAUAAGGAAUACAACUAAUUCAGUGAAUCGCAGAACUGAUGUAAAACAUCUUAGUACAAUAUAUGCAGGGAUACGACACACAUACAAAAACAACGUCUAAAAACAACUUGGAUAAAAAUGACAACACAAAUACAAAUGCAUCACAAUAAAUUGACUCUUAACGGUCUAUAAAAGCGCCAUAGCUGAAGCUCGCCAUUUUGAACGGGAAGUUAAACAGUGUCCGUGAUCAGUGGUGAAAAUGUAGAAAAUUAGAAGGAAACUAAAAGCAUCUACAACUAUUCACACUUAAAAUGUACGACAAGCCAACACACGAUAUAUAUACCCAAACAUAAACGACCUAAGUAUGUAUAACUUUGAUCAGAUGUCGAGCAAGAAAUUUAAUGAAAAACCAGCUUCACCAAGAAGAAGGCUGUCAAACACAGCCGAAACGUCGGGCAGUUAACAAACUACCAUUUGAAUCCGCAAGACUGAAUAGCCGAAAACUUCGAGUAUCAGAAUCUACCAGUUGGAAACUACAGUGAUAUAAGUAAUAGUUCAAUUACUAAAACAGUUUACAUCAAAUAAAACAGUCACUGAACAGAUGAAAAAAAUAUGCAGUCUGUUAUUAUUCUACACCACAAUUGUGCUGAUUCGUCACGAAAGGGAUGUAUGGCCGAAGUUCUGCUAAACCGAACUAAGCACCAAAAACUUUAUUCCGAGAUAAUUAAGCUUCAAGUCCAACCACUCACACAUAAGCAACAACUAAGACUAUUAACUCUUUUUUCAAUGGUUUUCGAUUCGAUUGAGCAAAAUCCCGACCCGACCAUUUUUGGUAUCAAAAAUCUCAAAAAUUGUUUUUUUUUUGCAGGUAUUAAAAAUUGAUAAAAACAUAAAAUCCGGGAAAAAUUUUAAAGCAUUUGACCAUCCUAAGCUACUUGGCAAAUUAUGAGGCUGUAUGUCACCUUUCUAUGGAAAAAUAUCAGAACAUUUGAAAGGUAAGGUUUGAAUGAAACAAUGUACACUAUGACAAAUCUGUUGCAUCUGAUUAUCUUGAACAUCUGCCUCCAAUUAAAUCUUUCAGUAAGCAAUCAAACCUCGUCGUGACAUUACUAGAUCAGCGAACAUUAUCAUACAAGGAAUUUUAAUUGCACAUUGUCAUCUCGCGGAUUAUUAUCGCAAAAGUACACAGCUACAUUGUUUCCAUUGAGGACCGAAUAGUGUGCGAUCGUUAAUAGCUUUGAGUAAAAUAAUUAUUACCAACACAGAUGCGGAAUAACAACAUUUGCAAUCUAUUAACAAAAGGAAAUACAUUUAGAACAAUUAUGGACAAGGGUCAGGCACAAGGCAGAGUGAGGAAAGCAUGUUGGAAAACUAAAAAGCAUUUUUUCCAUCCAUGCGUCAAUUAUUUGCGUUGAUGUAAAACAAUAUGCCUGAUAAAGGAGCUAUUUGAAUGAUUAGUCAUCGUAGGUUUUGUGGUGCGGCAUCAGAAGCAAGUCUGUUGUCUGCCUGUCCGUCAUCGCCGUUGCGUUAGUUGCUUUGCUCCUAUAACCAUAUGCCAGCGAGCGGAAAGACUGUGGCAAAUGCACGUAGCCGCCGUACAGCUCCCUUUCGUCGCCGAGCUAGGAGCCCUGUGACUGUAUCCUCCCGCUCAAGUAAACAAUUAAACUGCGGUUGGCUGGGCCGAAUGCCGGAUGAUGAUGAUGAUGGCACAAAUAUUGUUCACUGAUGUGUCCUGCUGCCGGCUUAUGCCCGACUGCUGCUGACUUUUCAUCCCCGAUCCCCGGACAAGGUUGAGAGAUAAUGCUAAAAGCUAACCGGCCGGGCCAGCGGCGGGCCAACGACGAUGUGUGUAAAUUGAGCGAUUAAAGCUGCACCGAAAUGGCAUAUCUUCGGAGCAUUUGCUCAUAGCGAUAAUGGCGUUUUCGUUGCUGUUGUUCCUGGUCGUGCUGGAAUCCGAGAAUAAAGACUCGUAAAUAUGUAACGUUAUCUUGUCGUGUUAAAUAGGACAUGGCAUGGCAGCAGCAACAUUUUUGCAAACGUGUAUUAAAUAUUAUCAUACGGCGGGAAAAGUUUCCGCAAAACACGUCAAACGCAAUUUGGCUCGUAGGAACAUCGCAAUUGAAUUUAAAUUUCCAUCGAUUUUUACGCCCCUGCCGCUGCCACUGAAUGACUGGGGUGCUGUUUGUUACCUACCACCACACUACUGACUGGUCGUGGCGAGCAAGGCAGUGGAGAAAACUCGAGCAAAUCAAAACCUCCCACUACCCUCUCAACUCAGGUGGUGCGCGUAAUCAGGUGGGCGCCCGACUGUCUGUCUACUCAGCAACACAUAGGUACCUACAGUACAGUAUAGCGAGCAGAGCACAGGUAUGGACGCGGUUGCUCUUCGACCGGCUCCAACCAGCAAAGGCGCCUGCUCUCAGGUGUCACGUAAAUUGUAGGGUACAGUUACAGUAGCUAUUGCAGAAGUGCGCUUUCUGAGGUCCACAUUAGAAAGUGGAUUAAUUCUCUUCUAGAAUUAUGCACAACAUUUUUGAAAGACCUUCUAGCGAUAUGUCAGGGAAAAUCCGCAAAAUAAUCGAACAGACGCGGAAUGUCUAACAGUAUUGAUUACUCUAAUGAAGAAUCCCUUUUGCGCUCCCUGUAGUGUUUUUUUUUUGCAGAACGACUUAAAUAAUUCAAGCCAGCCAGUUUCAAUUUAUACUGAUUAAUGGUGGUAUUGCGGGAUAAAAUUCUGGGGAAUAGCCUUAAGAAAUCCAUAAAAAUUUGGAUGAAAGUAAAUAUGGAACGGCAACGACUUUUAGCGCGAAACAACGUACAAGAAUUGGAACUUGGAAUGUAUUAACCCUAGCCCUGCAGGGUAAACUGGCACAACUAGCCAAUGAGGCAUGCCGUAUGAAGCUUGAGAUCCUAGGACUGAGCGAAGUCCUAGGAUCACUAGCCUCUGCUCAGCAACUCCUAUCCCUAAUUUCACGUGGCAGGUAAUCAUACCAUCUACCAGAGUUGCGACAACACACGUGAGCUGGGAACAGCUUUUAUCGUGAUGGGCGACAAACAGUGGCGCGUGAUCGAUUGGUGGCCGAUCGACGAAAGAAUGUGCAGAUUGAGGAUCAAGGCCGAUUAUUCAACUUCAGCAUAAUUAGCGUGCACAGCUCUCACUCCAGAAGCACUUAUGAUGGCAAAGACGCAUUUUUGGUGCAGCUCGAACGCGAGUACGACCUUGCUCAAACGCUCAGGUAGGCCAAGAGUAGAAAUUCAGACCGACGAUUGGAAAGUUCAGCGCCCACCAGCAGACGAACGAAAACGGUCUACUACUCAUUGAUUUCGCCGUCUCCAAAACAUUCAUAGCACCUUCUUUCAACACAGCUUCUUUUAUCGUUACAUCUGGAGAUCACCUCAGCAAACGGAAUCGACCACUUUCUGAUUGACGGUCGCCACUUCUCCGACAUUAUCGACGUCAGGAACUAUCGUGGCGCAAACAUCGACUCUGAUCACUACCUGAUGAUGUUUAAACUGCGCUAAACUCUCCGUUAUCAUUACUGUGCAGUACCGACCACCACCAAGUUACAACCUAAAGCCUGAGAAGAGAAGGCCAUCUCCGGAGUCAGAAAUUGAUAAAUGUAUCAUGCUGUUGGUCGCGACACCUAGCGGUUGAAAACACACUUUUUACACGGAAAAUUCCAACCGUGUUGACACGCAAAAGCAAAGUAUUUCGAAGACAGGUACACCAACUCAAAAACUGAUAACUGUAAUUCGGGGACAACACACGUUGUUGCUUAUCUCUUAAAAUCGUUUAUAGGGUAUGCGAUACAAUUGUGGUGGGAAUAUGUAUAAUAUCGUUAUGAUAAUUAAAAAAAUGAUAAAACACCAUAAUUAUGCUUUAUAACAGCCUGCAAUUGCAAAAACGUCUUUGAAAUGUCUUCCAUGUAAUUGUAAUAGUGGUCGAAACAACAAUUGAUAUGCUCCCAAUGAAACAAAAUUUCGAAAAAUAAGAGAAUUAAUCAUCGAUAUGACGUCAUUUAUUCAUUAAUUUUGACUUUACCUGAAAGUAAUCAAUACACUUUGAGCCAUGGUCUUGUUUUGACGUUUAUGCUUGAUAGAAAUGAAAUGGACAGAAACAAAAUAAAUUGAGUCGAUUUUUCACGCCAAAAAUUUAUUACUUUUCGUGUGGUCGCUAAAGCGCUAAAGCAAUCAGAUGUCGCUAAAGCAAUCGGAUGUCGCCCCAGCAUACGCGCAGAAUUUCGAGGCAGCUUUGCCAGACGGAGGAAAGCUCGUUGUGGCCCUGGAGAACAUUAAAAGCAGUCAUCAACGACGCAGUCGAGAGCACCAUCGGGUAUACGAAAAGGAGUCGACGAAACGAAUGCCUCGACGAGGAGUGCAGGAUGAUUUUGGAGGAGAAGAACGCAGCACGGGCGGUAAUGCUACAGCAAGGUACCGACAGAACGUGCAACAAUACUAACAGACGCGGCGACAGCAGACCCGCCUCUUUCCGAGGAAAAAGCACCGCCUGGAAGAAGUUGAAUGCGAAGAAAUAAAUUACUGUACCGUUCCCAUGAAACGCGGAGGUUCUACGAGAAGCUCAACGCAUUCCGCAACGACUUCGUGUCGCGAGUCGAAAUAUGCAGAGCCUCUUACCGGACAAACGUGGGGAGAACGAAAGGUGGAAGCAACACUUCGACGAGUACCUGAAUGGCGUGCAGAACGUAGGCACGGGAGACCACGACAACGGAGGGAACGACUACGCCAAUGCAGCCGAGGAAGGAAAAGAACCAACUCCCGCGCUGAAGGAAGUUAAGAAUACCAUGCACCAGCUCGAAACCAACAAAGCAGCAUGAUAGGAUUGAUACUGGAGCUGAACUCAUCCAGAUGGGUCCAGAAAAGCUGGCCACCUGUUUGCACCGGCUGAUAGUCAGGAUCUGGGAAACCGGACAGCUAUCGGGGGAGUGAAAGGAAGGGGUAAUCUGCCCCAUUUACAAGAAAGGCGACCGUUUGGAAUGUAAGAACUUCAGUGCGAUCACCAGUUUGAAAGCUGCCUACAAAGUACUAUCCCAGAUCAUCUUCCGUCGUCUAAAACUAAUGAGUUUGGGGCAAGUUAUCAAGCCGGCUUCAUCGACGGCCGGUCGACAACGGACCAGAUUUUCUCCGGACGGUAAAUCCUUCAAAAAUGCCGUGAAUACCAGGUCCCAACGCAUUCCCUGUUCAUCGACUUCAAGGCGGCAUACGACAGUAUCGACCGCGCAGACCUAUGGAGAAUCCUGGACGAAAACGGCUUUCCUGGGAAACUGACUAGACUGAUUAAAGCAACGACGGACGGUGUGCAAAAUCGCGAUAGGAUUUCGGGAGAACUCUCCAGUUCUUUUGAAUCUCGCGGGGGACUACGACAAGGGGACGGAUUCUCAUGCCUACUCUUCAACAUCGCUCUGGAAGGUGUAAUGCGACGAGCCGGGCUCAACAGUCGGGGUACGAUUUUAACAAAAUCCGAUCAAUUUGUGUGCUUUGCCGAUGACAUUGACAUUAUCGCCAGAAUAUUU